UCUAUGCCGAAUCGGAACACCGGUUUUCAUCCGAUCACCGAAGUUAAGCAACGCCGAGACUGGUUAGAACCUAGAUGGGUAAAUGUUCGGGAAUACCAGGUGCUGUAAG